rnacentral:rRNA from 1 species
CGAGUGGUCGGGACGUUUAUUGGGCCUAAAGCAUCCGUAGCCGGUUCUACAAGUCUUCCGUUAAAUCCAACUGCUUAACAGGUGGGCUGCGGAAGAUACUAUAGAGCUAGGAGGCGGGAGAGGCAAGCGGUACUCGAUGGGUAGGGGUAAAAUCCGUUGAUCCAUUGAAGACCACCAGUGGCGAAGGCGGCUUGCCAGAACGCGCUCGACGGUGAGGGAUGAAAGCUGGGGGAGCAAACCGG